UACCGCCCCCGGUACCGCCCUGGGACCGCCCCAGAACGGCUCCGGUACCGCCCCAGAGACCGCCCUGGGACCUUUGGUCUUUAGUCAAGAGCACACUAAUUUUGGAGACAUUUUUAAAAUUUAUUAGCUCAUUGCAUAUUACAGACCUAUUACACAUUUUUAAACUUUUCUAUAUAUAUAUUCUAUAUAUAUUCUAUAUAUAUUCUAUAUAUAUUCUCUCUCUAUAUAUAACACAUAUAUAUAUGUAAUAUAUAUAUUUUCUAUAUAUUUUUUUUCUACAUUUAUAAAUUCUAUACAUACCUUUUCUAUUUUUUCUCUUUCAGGAACUGUUUUAUAUGUCUAUUUCUCAAGUCUGCUUUUUGACUGUGAUUUUAAUUUAUUUUUUGUUAUUAAUUUGGGCUGUGCUCUUUAAUUUUUGAGGUUUUUAUAAUACAGUAAUAGGUGUGGGACAAGAUGAUUUUUUUUUUAUUGUUUCUUUUGGUUUUCUUCUUCUUCAUAGUUUCAGGCUGUAGUUUCUGGCUGGACAGUUAGUGCCACACUAAGAGUCAUAAGAAGUUAAUUAUUAAGUUAAAAAUAUAAUUAAUACAAGUGUUAAUUCUCUAUUAGGCUGUUUAGCUUUAAAAAAACCUUGUAGCUAACUAGAUCUGCCUCAAUUUUUCUCACUUUUAACUGGUAGCUAGAAGUUCUGCAGAAGUUUCUGUAUUUUUAAAUAAAAUUUAAUAAACAACCAAGCCCAAGCACGAGAAAAUCCAUUUCCUUUGUGCAUUUUUAAUCCUGGCUCUGAUUAAAGGCAGAGGAGACUCCAGACAAAACACAAAUUUGUUUGGUUUAGUGUUGCCAGGGGGGAGAAUUCCAUCAUUUUUGUCACUUUUAGGAUUUCCAGGGGAGAAUUCCACCAUUUCUGUGGGUUCUGGUGUUACCAGGGGAGCAUCUCACCAUUUUUUUUAAUUCCAGCUUUUAAUGCCAGGAGAGAGUUGGGGGGGGGGGGGGGGGGGGGGGGGGGGGGGGGGGGGGGGGGGGGGGGGGGGGGGGGGGGGGGGGGGGG
rnacentral:lncRNA from 1 species